UACGUAGGGGGCAAGCGUUGUCCGGAUUUAUUGGGCGUAAAGGGCACGCAGGCGGUCUGCUAAGUUCAGGGUGACAGUUAUCAGCUUAACUGAUGAAGGACCUUGAAAACUGGUGGACUUGAGAGCGAGAGAGGGACACGGAACUCCGGGUGGAGCAGUGAAAUGCGUAGAGAUCCGGAAGAACACCAAAGGCGAAGGCAGUGUCCUGGCUCGUUUCUGACGCUCAGGUGCGAAAGCGAGGGGAGCGAACGGG
rnacentral:rRNA from 1 species